rnacentral:rRNA from 1 species
GACGGAGGAUGCAAGCGUUAUCCGGAAUGAUUGGGCGUAAAGCGUCUGCAGGUGGCAGUUCAAGUCUGCUGUCAAAGACCGGGGCUUAACUUCGGAAAGGCAGUGGAAACUGAACAGCUAGAGUAUGGUAGGGGCAGAGGGAAUUCCUGGUGUAGCGGUGAAAUGCGUAGAGAUCAGGAAGAACAUCGAUGGCGAAGGCGCUCUGCUGGACCAUAACUGACACUCAGGGACGAAAGCUAGGGGAGCGAAUGGG